UACGGGGGGGGCAAGCGUUGUUCGGAAUUACUGGGCGUAAAGGGCGCGUAGGCGGUCAGACCAAGUCGAGUGUGAAAUUCCAGGGCUUAACUCUGGCACGCUCGCUCGAUACUGGUCGGCUAGAGUGCGGAAGAGGAGUGUGGAAUUCCUGGUGUAGCGGUGAAAUGCGCAGAUAUCAGGAAGAACACCUAUGGCGAAGGCAGCACUCUGGGACGGUACUGACGCUGAGACGCGAAAGCGUGGGGAGCGAACAGG
rnacentral:rRNA from 1 species